rnacentral:lncRNA from 1 species
GGCAGAGAUGCUGUGUGUGCCAGGUCAGAGAGCAGAGGGGCAGCCCACUAGCAGCAGACUGUUCUCAGCAUUGAGAAAUGCACUACUCUGCUCUCUACACACCCUACCCACCCUCAUGGCUCUGCCACAAAAUUAAAAGAUGAUGGUUGAUGGAGAUUCUCAGGAGUGCACACAGUGGCACCUUUCAAAAUGGAUGGCCUCCCUGAUGCCCCACUCUGCUUCGCCUUCAUUAAGCCAGCAUCUAAUCCUCUUUAUGACACUUAACCACAUUCUUUCUCAUGUACAAUUUUUUGUGUGUCAGCUUACUUUCCUACUAGACUGUAAACAUCUUGAGAAUAGAGACUGCCCUUUCAUCUUUGAGUAAAUGCCUAGAACUCAGCACUCAGCAAUUAUUUAAUGAAUUUUUAAAUAGGGAAAUAGGCUGUUUUUCUUUAGGUUUUGAAGCUGCCCAUUUAACCCUAUAGCAGCCUUAUCUCCAAAGGGGAGGAAAGAGUAACAGUUGACUUGCUUUCCUGCUUCUGAAGAAAGGGAUGGCCGUGCCCCAUCCCAGGUGAGCAGCUCUGGAGCAGGACCAGGGCUCACAUCUUCUAGAUGCCAGCUGUCAUCUGUGUCUAGGACUUAUUGUCAGCACUCGUUCAUCUCCAGGCCAAAAGCUCCCUGGCCCUGGGUUCCCCCUCUCCUUCUGUCUGCUGUCUGUCUUCAGUUCAGCAAGCUUCCCUCACAGGUUGCUCCCUCUGGGUCAUGGUGACGGCUCUAUAGCUGCAAGCUGUAUGAGGUUGCCUCUGGGAGGGGGAGAGGAAGUGGAUCUGGCUUUUGCAACUCUCCUCUGGUGUACUGGAUGUCUGCAGCCCCUGUCAGACCCCUCGGCGUCCCACCAGAGCUUGCCAGUGCUUUUGGCCUGGCAGGAAGAAGGCACAAAUCGCAGCAGAGCAUCUCCCAGACUGUGGCUGUGAACUGUCUCCUUUUGAGGUAGGUAACAGUGCUGGGGUUAGGGAGUAAAGCAACGGAAUGUGAGAGA